GACGAACGCUGGCGGCGUGCUUAACACAGGCAAGUCGAACGAAGUGGCGAACGGGUGAGUAAUACGUGGGUAACCUGCCCUCCUUUUUGGGAUAAGCCUUGGAAACGGGGUCUAAUACCGAAUAAAGGGGGAUGGGCUCGCGGCCUAUCAGCUUGUUGGUGGGGGUAUGGGCUACCAAGGCGGUGACGGGUAGCCGGCCUGAGAGGGUGACCGGCAACAUUGGGCCUGAGAUACUGCCCAGACUCCUCCUGGAUGAAGCAGUUGGGGAUAUUUCUCAAUGGGCGAAAGCCUGAUGCAGCGACGCCGCGUGGGGGAUGAAGGCUUUCGGGUUGUAAACCUCUUUCGCUAUCGAACGCCUCGGUGGUCAAGAAGCGCCUGCUAACUACGUGCCAGCAGCCGCGGUAAUUC
rnacentral:rRNA from 1 species